rnacentral:piRNA from 1 species
GACCAUUUCACUCAAACUGCAGCCAUGA